GAAAGUUUAUGUAACUUAUCUAGGACAUGUUCAAGGUAAUUCAGAGGUCCGUGGGGCUGGCCAGCCUGAGCUUGCUCACCUUCAAAGUCUAUGCUGUACCAAAAAAGGACUCACCUCCCAAAAAUUCUGUGAAGGUUGAUGACCUUUCACUCUACUCAGUUCCCAAAGGUCAGUCGAAGUAUGUGGAGGAGUCGAGGAGCCCACUUGAAGAAAGCAUCUCACAGCUCCGACACUACUGUGAGCCAUACACAAGCUGGUGUCAGGAAACGUACUCCCAAACUAAGCCCAAGAUGCAAAGUUUGGUUCAAUGGGGGUUAGACAGCUAUGACUAUCUCCAAAAUGCACCUCCUCGAUUUUUUCCGAGACUUGGUGUUAUUGGUUUUGCUGGCCUUAUUGGACUCUUUUUGGCUAGAGGUUCAAAAAUAAGCUAGUGUAUCCGCCUGGUUUCAUGGGAUUAGCUGCCUCCCUCUAUUAUCCACAACAAGCCAUCGUGUUUGCCCAGGUCAGUGGGGAGAGAUUAUAUGACUGGGGUUUACGAGGAUAUAUCGUCAUAGAAGAUUUGUGGAAGGAGAACUUUCAAAAGCCAGGAAAUAUGAAGAAUUCACCUGGAACUAAGUAGAAAACUCCAUGCUCUGCCCAUCUUAAUCAGUUAUAGGUAAACACUGGAAACUCCAUAGAAUAAAUCAGUAUUUCUACAGAAAAAUGGCA